UUCUCUCUCGUUACCUCAUCUUGUACGCAUAGGAUAGGUAAACCAUUGGAAUUGUUAGUCACUUGGUUCAGAUUUGUGAACAGCAUUGUAUCCUCCUUCUUUCCACGCCUGGCCGUAGGUUAGUUGGGAGAAGAACACAAGAACAAAAUCAAAAUCUGAUUCACCUCCACCCUCUCAUCACCCCAACCGUACACCCACUAAGCUUAUCAACCAUGGAUUGAGUUUCAAUACCACACUCUCUUCUCUUAUGCUCCAGGAAAAUCGUGUGUUAAUUGAGAGGGGAACUAUCAUCUAAGUUCCCGGUCAUGUCCUCCCUAGUUCGCAUGAGUUGCAGCAGCCAUGGUGAAGCUCAAAAUUUCACCUACUUCUUUCCUAUCCUUUGGUUCGGCCGAAAUUCCAACCUCUAAGAAGGUAACCUGUCUUCUUUACAUCUCUGCCCCUUCUUCAUUCAUUUCGAUUUGAAAAAGGGUUCUCACCUUGCAUGCGCAUGAUCUGGUCUGAAUUAGUGUUGCCUUCUUUUGCAUGCAAAUGAUGAAUUGAGCUGGACCUUUAUUCCUUCCUUCCCUCGGGCACACAGCUAAAAGUAGAAGUGUGAAUAACUCUUGAGUGUGGGCUGAUUGUUGCUGCUAUUUAAUAAAUAAUUGUGGCAUUCGAGCAUAGCAUGGCAUGCAUACUAUAGGCAUCCCUGUGACUGAGCACGCAUCAUAUAGGCAUCCCUCGGUACCAGGGUAUGGGACACUUGGCAUCCGUCCGCAUAGGUCACAGUGGGAUUCAAUAAAUGAAGGUGCCGUUGCAUGGAAUUCCCACUGUGUAUGCACGCGCACGACGGUGCUAUGAGCGUGAAGAAGGCGUUAUAUACGCAAUAUGAUAUAUGAUGAAAAGGAUUUAAUGUUUGUAGCGACUGUUUAUAAUUUUGUGCCUAGUUUAAUACUGUUGCAUUAUUGGUUUUGUUGCCACACUACUGGGAUUUUUCUCACCCUUUUGGGGCUGCUAGUUUUACAAAAUGGCAGGAGGACAUAAGAGCAUUUGAAGACAUGUUUAAUUGGAUAUUUGCUGUUAUUUGCUGCUGAGCUGUAUGGACUAUUGUUGUUGCUGAUGUUUGAUGGAUGACUGUAUUCAAUUGAGUAACUUGGAUUACAGUUGGAUUAUGAUUUUGGAUUAUAAUAUUUUCAAGACAGAUCGUUUUCGGGAAAAAUCAGAGUUUCGCAGCGAAAGCCUUUUUGAAUUUUCUUGCUGAUUUAUUUCUCCAAGUCAGUGUCUAAGCAAGCUUUUCUAAUUGAUAUUAAAUGAAAAAGUUUUUACUAAACGAGAAUUUCAUACGAUAACGUUAAGUCUCUAAUCCGCUUAGCAAACCACUCUCUUGGAUGCAUACAAGGGAGGGUGUUACAAAGGGGGUCACUGUAUGUUUUUUUUUUUAAAUUUCAUGAAACAAUUUUAUUAAAAAAUAAAAUAAAAUUGCUAGCAAACCUAAAUCUAAUCGUUCUCUUCUCUCCCAGCGACCUAGACAUCUUCAAUCUCCACC